UACGGAGGGAGCUAGCGUUGUUCGGAAUUACUGGGCGUAAAGCGCACGUAGGCGGCUUUGUAAGUUAGAGGUGAAAGCCUGGAGCUCAACUCCAGAAUUGACUUUGAUACUGCAUGGCUUGAAUCCAGGAGAGGUGAGUGGAAUUCCGAGUGUAGAGGUGAAAUUCGUAGAUAUUCGGAAGAACACCAGUGGCGAAGGCGGCUCACUGGACUGGUAUUGACGCUGAGGUGCGAAAGCGUGGGGAGCAAACAGG
rnacentral:rRNA from 1 species